GUGGCGAACGGGUGAGUAACACGUGGGGAAUCUGCCUAUAAGUGGGGGAUAACAUUCGGAAACGGAUGCUAAUACCGCAUAUAUUCAAAAACCGCAUGGUUUCUGAAAGAAAGACGGCUUUGCUGUCGCUUAUAGAUGAUCCCGCGGCGUAUUAGUUAGUUGGUGGGGUAAUGGCCUACCAAGACCAUGAUACGUAGCCGACCUGAGAGGGUGAUCGGCCACACUGGGACUGAGACACGGCCCAGACUCCUACGGGAGGCAGCAGUAGGGAAUCUUCCACAAUGGGUGCAAACCUGAUGGAGCAAUGCCGCGUGAAUGAAGAAGGUCUUCGGAUCGUAAAGUUCUGUUAUUAGAGAAGAACAAGUCAAGGAGUAACUGCCUUGACUUUGACGGUACCUAACCAGAAAGUCACGGCUAACUACGUGCCAGCAGCCGCGGUAAUACGUAGGUGACAAGCGUUGUCCGGAAUUAUUGGGCGUAAAGGGAGCGCAGGCGGUUGGAAUAGUCUGAUGUGAAAGCCCACG
rnacentral:rRNA from 1 species